UGCCCCCCCCUUAUUCUAGUUUAGGGCCCCCACGCGCCAUUCAGGUGUGGGGGCCGGGGGGGGGGCAAUAGUUCCCCCUUCAGGUUAGAAGUCCCCACUCGCGUGGCACGAGUGGGGGCUCAGGAGGGGACACG